rnacentral:sRNA from 1 species
GGAACUGCUGCAGCUGCUGCCGCCGCCGGAGGAACCUUGAUCCCCGUGCUCCGGACACCCCGGGCCUCGCCAUGGCUGACCAGCUGACUGAGGAGCAGAUUGCAGGUGAGUCUGCUGUCCCCUCAUCUUAGCUCAGGAAAGCCUCCACAUCCCCAGCCAAAUCUUAGCCACUGAGGAGUGACAUCUGAUGGGUGAACCUGUGUAUCCCUUGUGUCACCUAACACUAUGCCUUGUGCCUAGAAUGCUGAUAAAUGUGUGUAAGAGCACACCAGUGCCCCAAUGACACCAAGCCCCAUGGCCCUGAGACAGGCCUUUACCAGACACCAAAGGCUGUGUUCCUCUCCUGGGCCUGGGUCAUCUAGGGGCUUGAUAUCAGUGGCUGCAGGACGAGCCCAACUCUGUCUCCCAGCUUCAGCCAGGUUGGCUUAGAAGGUGAGCUCCCUGCCUCCCUGUGGGGCCUGCAGAGCUCCUGUCCCACUUUAGGAGCCGCCCAGGAGCUGGCUCGUCACUCCCACCUCUGCGCGUGCCUGCGCUUUGCACUUCCUUUCGCAUGUGCCUGCGCCUGCCUGUUCUGCUGGCGGAAGUGCCU